UGAUGAGAUUGACAUCUACUAUGGGGCUCCAAACAAAGUUGAAAAGCAAGAUUUGAAAAAUGACAAAGAUUUGGACAACAUUUACUUCAAAGAGGUCCUAGGAAAAGAUACUAAUUCGUUUGCUGAAAUGUAGAUUACAACUAUCAAACCUUUAAGGACCUUUACUACAAUAAAGGCUUACCCUCCUUUGACUUUUUAAGGUUAUCCAACCUGUAGAACAAAUAUAGUGAACUUUAAAGGGGUGAGAUGUCUAGAAGUACCUUUACAUUAUUUUUGAUAAACCUAUUGUACAUCCCACGUAUGUUAUUAUAUUUUAAUUUAGAAAACCUUAUUAAACAUCCCACGUAUGUAAUUAUAUUUUAAUUUAGAAAACCUUAUUAAACAUCCCUCGUAUGUAAUUAUAUUUUAAUUUAGAAAAACGGGUUCGAGAAGGAAACAAAACGGAAAAUUGCAAAUGAAAAGGAGCGACUUCGCAUGAUCAAAGUGAAUGCUGCUUAUGAUAAAUUGAACAAUCUCAUUUACAAAAGGAAGCUUUAUUCAGCCUACCAUGGCAGUACCAUCUUCAUGAGUCAAGACCGAUUAUUAAUCGAUGGUGUGAUAAAAAAUAUAGUAAGGUUAAGAUUCUUCAAGCUACCAUUGCAUAUAUAGCUACACUACAAACUAUUUUAGGAACCGAUACAUUAAUGCAAGAGAGAGAAGAGAAUAAUAUCCAUGAUGAAGAUGAAAACAUUUUAAAUUUAUAAAUGUAAAUAAAUAAAACAAAAAUAAAAUGUUUUGAAAACAG
rnacentral:misc_RNA from 1 species